GACAGGAGGAUGCAAGCGUUAUCCGGAAUGAUUGGGCGUAAAGCGUCUGUAGGUGGCUUUUUAAGUCCGCCGUCAAAUCCCAGGGCUCAACCCCUGGACAGGCGGUGGAAACUACCAAGCUGGAGUACGGUAGGGGCAGAGGGAAUUUCCGGUGGAGCGGUGAAAUGCGUAGAGAUCGGAAAGAACACCAACGGCGGAAAGGCACUCUGCUGGGCCGACACUGACACUGAGAGACGAAAGCUAGGGGAGCGAAAUGGG
rnacentral:rRNA from 1 species